AAAAACCCGAACCCGAACCCGAAAAUUUAAACCCGAAACAAUUAUUUCUUUUUUCAAUAUUUCAAAAUAUAUUAUAUUAAACCUAAAUUUUUAAAAUACAAAUUCAAAUAUAACAUCAAAUUUUUAUAUAUAUAUUAUAUAUAAUACAAAAUAAAUUCGGGUUCGGGUCGGGUUUGGGUUCGGGUCGGGUACAAUCAAAAUCCAUAUCCGAAUCCAUAUCCGUCGGGUUUCUAUUUUUGAUAUCCAUAUCCGAAUCCAUAUCCAUAUCCAUCGGAUAUAUCCGUUUCAUUCGGGUUCGGGUUCGGAUAAAAUUUCGGGUAUCCAUACCCAUUGACAUCCCUAAUUGGGUCCCAGAGUGGAUUGAUUCCUCUCCCUACAUAGAAAAGGAUAUCUUAUUUGUUCAGAAAAUACUCUCUUUGCUGAGAAAAAAUUAACUGUAAAAGUGUGUGGAGCUUUGUACAGUGACAGUACAUGUCCUUUUUAUUUAUCCCAUAAUAAGAAGCUAAAAGCUGUGGAAGGUUGUGUGUCAUUUUCCGAAUGUUGCCCGCUUGUUUAGAGAAGCAUCAUUGGGUGCUUUCCCCUGCUUGAUUGGGACACUGCUACUGCACCUAAUCAUCAGUUUGUGUCUUCUUCUCUUCUUUUUCUUCUUUUAUCUCGCUUAAAACCCAAGUUUUUAUCGAUCUUUAGAUCGAAUUGUACGACGUCUCCUCAUCAUCGUCCUCACCCUCUUUCAAUCACUUGCUCAGUGGUCUGGUCCCCCUCGAUACUCUUAACCUUUGUAUUCCGUCGCAAUCUUACACUUCUGAUCCAAAAGAUUGCGAUGUAAGUUCGAAUUACUCGACGUCUCUGCAUCGUCCUCAACUUGUAAGGAAAUUGUAGCAAUCCUCACCCUUUUCAUGAAAUUCCUCAUUUGAAUUCGAUGGAAGUGCCCAAAUAGUCGCGAUAUAAGUUAUCUGAAAGCUAACCGGCUGUUAGGUAUGGUUGUGUUAGUACCAAUAAAGAAACGCCACGUGGAGAGCCGGCGCACGACUCAGCCAGGGGUUCCAAAGCUGGGGUUAAAUGAUAUUUGGUGCGUCGGGAGCAAAGAAUAAAUCACAGGAUAACCUCAAGCGGUUUUAACGGUUGGGAUCGGCUUGUAGUGGCCCACGAAAUUAGGAAAGUGGCCGAUCGUGUACAUAACCGAAUAACAAUGUGCGGAGUAUAAAUAGGCGAGUAAUUUCUGGAAGAGAGGUCUUUUUUUCCAGCGAACAGAAGACCACUUUUCAAUUUCUACGCAUUUUUCUUGUAUUUUUAGAAGUAGUCUACUUGUAAUCUUUUUCUUCUCCGCAUUUACUGUCUUUCUUAGGAGCAAUCUUUAAGUUAGAUUUUCAGAGUCCGUAUGCCUCACAGGCACACUCUCUUUUGUACAAGUUUUUAAGUUAAGUUUGAAUAUAUGAAGGCAUUCAGCUCUUCAGCCGACCGAAAUAUCUGUGCAGUCCGUACAUUCGGCUCAUUCAGUCGAACCGAUUCUACAAUAGAGGGUUUCGAACUCGGCUGAUCCGAUCGCUCAUCAGCCGAAUCGCUUGAUCCAGUCGAAGGGCGCAAACUUCGAGGAUCACUACGUGAGGCCGUAUUAAACCCCUACACGCUUCCCU
rnacentral:lncRNA from 1 species